GACGAACGCUGGCGGCGUGCUUAACACAUGCAAGUCGAACGGAAAGGCCCUGCUUUUGUGGGGUGCUCGAGUGGCGAACGGGUGAGUAACACGUGAGUAACCUGCCCUUGACUUUGGGAUAACUUCAGGAAACUGGGGCUAAUACCGGAUAGGAGCUCCUGCUGCAUGGUGGGGGUUGGAAAGUUUCGGCGGUUGGGGAUGGACUCGCGGCUUAUCAGCUUGUUGGUGGGGUAGUGGCUUACCAAGGCUUUGACGGAUAGCCGGCCUGAGAGGGUGACCGGCCACAUGGGGACUGAGAUACGGCCCAGACUCCUACGGGAGGCAGCAGUGGGGAAUAUUGCACAAUGGGCGGAAGCCUGAUGCAGCAACGCCGCGUGCGGGAUGACGGCCUUCGGGUUGUAAACCGCUUUCGCCUGUGACGAAGCGUGAGUGACGGUAAUGGGUAAAGAAGCACCGGCUAACUACGUG
rnacentral:rRNA from 1 species